rnacentral:lncRNA from 1 species
UCUCUAGUUCCAGCCAUGUUGCUACAAAUGGCAUUAGUUUGUCUUCUUUAUGGCUGAGUAGUAUUCCAUUGUAUAUAUGUACCACAUCUUCUUAAUCCAUUCAUGACAUUUAGAUUGUUUCCAUGUCUUGGCUGUUGUGAAUAGUGCUGUGAUGAACAUAGGGGUGCAUGUAACUCUUUUGAAUGAAUGUUUUGUCCAGACAUAUGCCCAGGAGUGGGAUUGCUAUAGAAUGGGAAACAAAUCUUUGCAAAUGAUGCCACAGACAAGGGUCUAAUCUCCAUAACAUACAAACAAUUCAACCACAAAAAAAAAACCAACAACCCAACUGAAAAAUGGGCAGAAAACCUAAACCUAAAUAGGCAUUUCUCCCAAGAAGACAUGGAUGAGCAACAGGUACAUGAAAAAUGCUCAGUAUCACUAAUUAUUAGAGAAAGGCUAUCAAAACUACAAUGAGGUACCACCUCACACCAGUCAGAAUGAUGGUAAUUAACAAGUCAACAAAUAACAAAUGCUGGACAGGGUGUGGAGAAAAGAGUACCCUCCUUCACUGUUGGUGGGACUGUAAAUUGUUACAGCCACUAUGGAAAACAGUAUGGAGGUAACUCAGAAAACUAAAUAUAGAACUACCAUGUGAUCAUUAGUUAUUUUUUAACAUUUACUUUUAUCAUUGUAUUUCAAAAUAAAAAUGCAACACAAAGAAAUAAAUGUCAAAAAUAACAGUAUAGAUCUUUAAUAGCAAAGAGUUUUGAAUUUUGUUGAGCAAAAUACCAAGUACCAAAUUUGGAACGUUAGUAUGAUCUCAUGUUUGACAAAAUAGGUAUUGUUAAUAACACCUACCACUUAUUGAACACCUUUUCUGUUGUUGGCAUUGUCCUAGGUGAUUUACUUAUAUUAUCUUGUUUAAUCCUGAUAUAAAUAAUGAUACGGUAUAUUUUAAUAAUAUAUAUCAUUUAUCUCCAUUUUACAUGUGUGAAAACCAAGGCAACUUAUUCAAGGUCACAUAGUCAGUAUGUGUGAGAGCCAGGAAGCUCUUGAUUCCAGCAACGAUCUGCACAUUGGUACACUGCCCCUAACAGAUUUAGGGAAAGAUACAUGAAAAUAGUAAUUGCUAUCUGUGAGCAUGGACUUUUUUCUUUUGGCCUAUCUGCAUUUAAAAAUUUUUUUCAGUGACUUUAUUUAAAGGAAAGAAGAAGGGAAAGUAAAAAGAAAGUGAGAUAAGAAAAGAAAUGGAAGGAAAAGGGAAGGGAAGGGGGAGGAAGAGGGAAGAGAAGGAAGGAAGAGAAGGAAUGCUGUGGUGGCUGCAAGACGGUGUGUGUAUACAGCUCUGUAGCAUCAUGCCUUGUCUUGGGGUGGCAUUGAAUGCAGUCCAACACAGAGGAUGGGCAGAGGAAAAUGUCCUUCAGAACACAAGUGUUUGGAAAAGGAACUUUUGCAUAUUUAGAACACUGUGUUCUUUCCAGCUGAACUGGGUUGCAAUUUAUAUUGGAAUU